rnacentral:rRNA from 1 species
AGAGUUUGAUCGUGGCUCAGAAUCAACGCUGGCGGCGUGCCUAACACAUGCAAGUCGAACGCGAAAGUCCCGCAAGGGAUAAGUAGAGUGGCAAACGGGUGAGUAACGCGUGGGUGACCUACCUUCGAGCGGGGGAUAACGUUUCGAAAGGAACGCUAAUACCGCAUAACAUCCUGCCUUUGAACAGGCGGAGAUCAAAGCCGGGGAUCGCAAGACCUGGCACUCGGAGAGGGGCCCGCGUCCGAUUAGCUAGUUGGUGGGGUAAUGGCUCACCAAGGCAACGAUCGGUAGCCGGCCUGAGAGGGCGGACGGCCACACUGGGACUGAGACACGGCCCAGACUCCUACGGGAGGCAGCAGUGGGGAAUUGUUCGCAAUGGGCGCAAGCCUGACGACGCAACGCCGCGUGGAGGAUGAAGAUCUUCGGGUCGUAAACUCCUGUCGAAUGGGACGAACGGAUCGCGGGGUAAUAUCCCGUGGUCGUGACGGUACCGUUAAAGGAAACCCCGGCUAACUCCGUGCCAGCAGCCGCCGUAAU